rnacentral:rRNA from 1 species
GUAGUGACGAGAAAUAACGAGACUGUUCUCUUUGAGGCCGGUCAUCGGAAUGGGUACAAUUUAAACCCUUUAACGAGUAUCAAGCAGAGGGCAAGUCUGGUGCCAGCAGCCGCGGUAAUUCCAGCUCUGCAAAUACAUAGAAUUAUUGCUGCGGUUAGAAAGCUCAUAGUUGGAUUCGUAUCGAUACCUUGGAACCCUUCGGGUGUCUCUAGGUGUUAUCGAUUUAUCGUAAUGUUCGGUUUUGAGUCCUUAACAGGAUUCUUAACAGGCAUUGCAAGUUUACUUUGAACAAAUCAGAGUGCUUCAAACAGGCGUUUUCGCUUGAAUGAUCGUGCAUGGAAUAAUAGAAAAUGAUUUCGGUUCAGUUUUAUUGGUUUUACGGACUGAGAUAAUGGUUAACAGAGACAAACGGGGGCAUUUGUAUGGUCCCGUGAGAGGUGAAAUUCUUGGACCGUGGCCAGACAAACUACAGCGAAAGCAUUUGCCAAGAAUGUUUUUAUUAAUCAAGAACGAAAGUCAGAGGUUCGAAGGCGAUCAGAUACCGCCCUAGUUCUGACCGUAAACGAUGCCAACUAGCGAUCCGCCGAUGGAAAUUAUAUUGCCUUGGUGGGGAGCUUCCCGGAAACGAAAGUCUUCCGGUUCCGGGGGAAGUAUGGUUGCAAAGCUGAAACUUAAAGGAAUUGACGGAAGGGCACCACCAGGAGUGGAGCCUGCGGCUUAAUUUGACUCAACACGGGGAAACUCACCCGGCCCGGACACUGUGAGGAUUGACAGAUUGAUAGCUUUUUCAUGAUUCAGUGGAUGGUGGUGCAUGGCCGUUCUUAGUUCGUGGAGUGAUUUGUCUGGUUUAUUCCGAUAACGAGCGAGACUCUAACCUACUAAAUAGUUGGUACAUACUCUUAGUGUAUACAGCUUCUUAGAGGGAUUUGCGGCGUUCAGCCGAAAGAAAUUGAGCAAUAACAGGUCUGUGAUGCCCUUAGAUGUCCGGGGCUGCACGCGCGCUACACUGGCAAAAUCAACGUGCUUGUCCUACCCUGAAAGGGGCGGGUAAACCAUUGAAAAUUUGCCGUGAUUGGGAUCGGAAAUUGCAAUUAUUUUCCGUGAACGAGGAAUUCCAAGUAAGUGCGAGUCAUCAGCUCGCGUUGAUUACGUCCCUGCCCUUUGUACACACCGCCCGUCGCUGCCCGGGACUGAGCCAUUUCGAGAAAUUUGGGGACCGUUGAUUUAAUUUUUCUAAAUUACUUUGAUGGAAACCAAUUUAAUCGCAGUGGCUUGAACCGGGCAAAAGUCGUAACAAGGUAGCUGUAGGUGAACCUGCUGCUGGAUCAUUACUUUAUGUGAUGUUCAAAUUUGAAUUCGCAAUGAAAUGAUCGUUGUGAAACGGCUGUCGCUGGUGUCUAAGUGUUGCUGAUACAGUUGUGAACGUCCGUGGCUGUAUAUGUGGUGACAUGUUAGGACUCUAAUGAGUUUAAGACCUAAUGAGCCUCUUAAGUGAGGCCGCCAGCAACCUUUUUUUUCUCUACAUUUUAAAAAAAAAACUAAAAUUCU